rnacentral:rRNA from 1 species
AUUGAACGCUGGCGGCAGGCCUAACACAUGCAAGUCGAGCGGAUGAAGGGAGCUUGCUCCUGGAUUCAGCGGCGGACGGGUGAGUAAUGCCUAGGAAUCUGCCUGGUAGUGGGGGAUAACGUCCGGAAACGGGCGCUAAUACCGCAUACGUCCUGAGGGAGAAAGUGGGGGAUCUUCGGACCUCACGCUAUCAGAUGAGCCUAGGUCGGAUUAGCUAGUUGGUGGGGUAAAGGCCUACCAAGGCGACGAUCCGUAACUGGUCUGAGAGGAUGAUCAGUCACACUGGAACUGAGACGCGGUCCAGACUCCUACGGGAGGCAGCAGUGGGGAAUAUUGGACAAUGGGCGAAAGCCUGAUCCAGCCAUGCCGCGUGUGUGAAGAAGGCCUUCGGAUUGUAAAGCACUUUAAGUUGGGAGGAAGGGCAGUAAGUUAAUACCUUGCUGUUUUGACGUUACCAACAGAAUAAGCACCGGCUAACUUCGUG